CCCUUAGAUGUCCGGGGCCGCACGCGCGCUACACUGAUGCAUUCAACGAGUUUCUUCCUGGUCCGAGAGGAAUGGGUAACCUUUUGAAAGUGCAUCGUGAUAGGGAUAGACUAUUGCAAUUAUUGGUCUUCAACGAGGAAUUCCUAGUAGACGUAGUUCAUCAGACUGCAUCGAUUACGUCCCUGCCCUUUGUACACACCGCCCGUCGCACCUACCGAUUGGAUGGUCCGGUGAAGCCUCGGGAUUGUGGUUCUUGCCGCUUUAUUGUGGCGUGACCGCGAGAACUUGUCUAAACCUUAUCAUCUAGAGGAAGGUGAAGUCGUAACA
rnacentral:rRNA from 1 species